GAAAGCAGAUCCUUUGGGUUUACACAUCCAGGAAAGGAAUCAGCCUCUCUUAUACGCUGUGAGGUUCUUCUUCUCUGAAAAGAAUGCACUUUCAUUAUUGAAAUUAUAUCAGAAAAUAUUCAUAUUGUGUUUUAUGGGUUUUUUUUGGUCUUCAUAUCUUGAAAAGAAUGAUUUUGAGAAUCAAGUUUCAUCUGCCAAUUUUAAUAGUGUAAUUCCUGCUGAAGUAAUUAGUUCUCUUCUUCCUCAUCUUUUUCUGAACCCACUGGAAAAAAAAAAAGAGAAAAGAGAAAGGCGGACGGAGGCUAAAAGAGCAUCCUUCCUACUGAUAAAGCUGACACCGGAGAAAGUGGAAUAUAUCUGUAGGCAGAUGGACUUCCUAGUACUGAGCACAGGUAUUGAAGGACCAUCUGGCCACAGGCAGGGUCGGACCAUUGCUGGCCUCCACACAGGGCAGGCAUGGAGCGAAGCUUUACUGGUAUGCUUCCCACGGGUUCGAGAGCCACCUAGAGCAUGUUUUCUCUAUUUCCUAAAAGGAAGAGCGACAGAAAGGGGCCAGGCUGCGCAUGCUCAGCUUCUCCUCACAGACUCACCAAUCAGGUCCCUGUUACUAUGCUCAGGAAGUGGAAACUUCCCUGGGUCAUUCGCUGAAACGCUGGGAACUCCAGAAUGCACAGCUUUGCAGGCUUUUGUGUUCUUCAGAAAAGGGACCUGUAAUUCUGAGAAGUGGAUCAGAGAAGGUCAAAUCACUGUGCACAAAACAAUGACUCAAAACUCUGAGUCUUUUCCAGACUUACCUACCUUAAAAAAAAAAAAAGAAGUCCUUUGCCCCACUGAGGAGAGCUCCUGAGAGGCAACAUGAGGGGCUGAGGGGCUCCUGCGGCUUUGAGGAAACCCUGCAGGCCAGGCCACGCCACCAGAAGGAACCAAAACACAAAGAGAAACCCCAUUCAGCAGACCACGGAGAAGUCCUCUUCGCUGUUUGAAACUUUUCUCUCGUUUGUGGCAAGUCUAAUGAUUCAGUAAUGACCACAGCUGUGUUUGGGCCUACGGGUCCCCUCAGAGGCGUUUUCCCCCACUUCAGGGCAGGACCAGAACCAGCUGGCGAGGCUUCCCUCCUCCCAGCUCUUUCCAGUUUCUGCCAUGCGUCUGGGACAAGCAGAGCUUGGAGCAGCCGUUUGGAGAUUUUAUCAGACUUCUCGUGAAUCUAAUUCCGGUGGGAGGAAGCAAAGUAAAAUUCGCUGUUUAGGUUCAUGGACAAUGCAUUUCUGGGCCUGAAAUUCAGCUCUCAGGAUCCUGCUGGUGAAGUAAGUUUGAAAGAGUCAGAGUUUCUCAUUUUGGUCCUCACUGUGGUAAGGACAGAGUCACAGAGAAGAUUCAGGUUUCCCAGACCCUGCCAGGGGGACAGCUGGCAUCUGCCAGUCACCAUUUCUUACCUCUGAAUUCCCCUGGUUCGUGUCUCCCUACUGUGUGCUCUGAACCAAGGAGCAAAAUAGAAGAGAAAGUGAGACAUGGUGGCAUGCUGGAGCAAGAACUGCCAAGAGGCUGGAGGGUGCGGCAGGAUCUCAGACCCACACAGCUGCCGAGUGGCCUGCAGCUGGCCUGGGUGUGGCUCCUGGGGACGCCCUGCCUGGCUCAGUCUCAUUGGCAUGCUGGUGUCUAUCAGAGGGCCACUUUCCCCAUCUAGGAAAUGAAGGUGGUCAGGGGGAUUGUUCAUUUAUUCAUGGAUCUGUUUCUUUAUUCAUCCAUCUAACCUUUUUUUUUUUUUAUACUCUGUGCUAGGUGCUGGGGAUAUGGAAACUAAUACAAUUGGGUUCCUGCCUUGAUGGGAUCACAGUCUUGUAGAUAAAUAUGCAAAUAAUUCUAGAAAAGUCAUCUAUGUGAUAACAGGACUAUGUGAGGUACAUAGCCCUGCCCGGAAAUGUUGAGAAAACUGAUCUUGAAGGAUGAGUGGAGGAUGCCAAAAGGGCAGAAGGAUAUUCUAGAGGAAAGUCUGGAGCUUGCAAAAGAACUUUGCUUGAAAAUAGCAAGGCUGAAAGAGAUUUUAAGCGGGGAACAAAAGGCAGGGAAGGCAACGUGGACUCUCCAGUUCUCAACAUCCAGCGGAGAUUCCACUUUAUCAAGAGAGGAUUUUUUCCUUCCUCUGAACUCUGAAAAAUGCUUGGGCCUUUUAUCAGGAUCGCCCCACACUGUUUAUAUACCACUGAUAAGGCCAUUGAUAUUUGUUUUACCAGGCCAGGCAUAGGAAGAUGUUGCUUGUUGCUAUUCCUUGCAUAGACCCGUGAUAAACCCUGAGGGCCUUCAUGAAAACCGUUGUGAUUCUUACCCUUUACCGGUCAGGGAUCUUUGGGGAGUGGAAGGAAAGUGAUAAACCAUCUCCCCAGAAAAAUGCAUGUAGUUUUGCAUAAAAUUUGAGAAGUUUCCAGAACCAUCCCCCCUUCCAAAGUCACUUCUACACUCCAGGUAAAGAACUCCCCACCUAGCUUCAGGCUGUGGGUCAGAGAACUGGAAUGACCCAGUGUAGACACAGUGCUUUACGGUGACCGGGCCUGAUGUGGGCAUUCAGCUCGGUCAUUCUUGAGACAGGAACAUCCCCAGGCAGGCCUUCAGCUUGCCCUGACCAAGGUUAGGUGAGGGCACGUGGUGUUGACAAGCGUCCUCGCCCAGGCUUGUUGUGGCCGAGUGGUCUUGGACCUGGCAAAAGGAGAAGCAGCUUUUUAGCUUGGCAAGUCAGCUGCCUGCUGAAGAGCAGUAAUCUGCGGUGAGAUCAGUGAUGGCAAACGUUUUCUGUCAGACUGUUCACUAGUUAGACUGAAGUGUGUCCGCCGGCGUAUGUACUUCCUUUUCACUUGAGUUGGUGAAUCGAGUGGGGCAGGAGGGACUGUGGGACACCAAGACCG
rnacentral:lncRNA from 1 species